UACAGAGGGUGCGAGCGUUGUCCGGAAUCACUGGGCGUAAAGGGCGCGUAGGUGGCGACCCAAGUCGAUGGUGAAAGCUCGCCGCUCAACGGCGAGUCGGCCACCGAUACUGGGUUGCUGGAGCACUGUAGAGGCAGAUGGAAUUCCGGGUGUAGCGGUGGAAUGCGUAGAGAUCCGGAAGAACACCGGUGGCGAAGGCGGUCUGCUGGGCAGUUGCUGACACUGAGG
rnacentral:rRNA from 1 species